rnacentral:rRNA from 1 species
CCCUUAGAUGUUCUGGGCCGCACGCGCGCUACACUGAUGCAUUCAACAAGCCUAGCCUUGACCGAGAGGUCCGGGUAAUCUUUGAAACUGCAUCGUGAGGGGGCUAGAUUAUUGCAAUUAUUAAUCUUCAACGAGGAAUGCCUAGUAAGCGUGAUUCAUCAAAUCGCGUUGAUUACGUCCCUGCCCUUUGUACACACCGCCCGUCGCUCCUACCGAUUGAAUGUGUUGGUGAGGAGCUCGGAUUGGCAGCAGUUGGUGGUUCGCCACCGGCUAUUGCUGAGAAGUCCUCCAAACCGCCCCAUUUAGAGGAAGGAGAAGUCGUAACA